GAUGAACGCUGGCGGUAUGCUUAACACAUGCAAGUCGAACGGACUCUUCGGAGUUAGUGGCGGACGGGUGAGUAACGCGUGAGAAUCUGGCUUUGGGUUCGGGACAACCACUGGAAACGGUGGCUAAUACCGGAUGUGCCGAGAGGUAAAAGAGAAAUUGCCUGAAGAUGAGCUCGCGUCUGAUUAGCUAGUUGGUGAGGUAAAGGCUCACCAAGGCAGCGAUCAGUAGCUGGUCUGAGAGGAUGACCAGCCACACUGGGACUGAGACACGGCCCAGACUCCUACGGGAGGCAGCAGUGGGGAAUUUUCCGCAAUGGGCGAAAGCCUGACGAAGCAAUACCGCGUGAGGGAAGAAGGCUCUUGGGUUGUAAACCUCUUUUCUUAGGGAAGAACAAAAUGACGGUACCUAAGGAAUCAGCAUCGGCUAACUCCGUG
rnacentral:rRNA from 1 species